UGUGGUUGGUACAUACCGCACAGGACAC
rnacentral:sRNA from 1 species